rnacentral:rRNA from 1 species
GAUACGGGAGGCAGCAGUGAGGAAUAUUGGUCAAUGGGCUUACGCCUGAACCAGCCAAGUCGCGUGAGGGAAGACUGCCCUAUGGGUUGUAAACCUCUUUUGUCAGGGAGCAACGCCGGCUACGUGUCGCCGGACUGAGAGUACCUGAAGAAAAAGCAUCGGCUAACUCCGUGCCAGCAGCCGCGGUAAUACGGAGGAUGCGAGAGUUCUCCGGAUUUAGUUGGUUUAAAGGGUGCGUAGGCGGAAUGCCAAGUCAGCGGUACAAUCGCGGGGCUCAACCUCGCUCCGCCGUUGAAACUGGCGUUCUUGAGGGGGCGAGAAGUAUGCGGAAUGCGUGGUGUAGCGGUGAAAUGCAUAGAUAUCACGCAGAACCCCGAUUGCGAAGGCAGCAUACCGGCGCUCAACUGACGCUGAGGCACGAAAGUGCGGGUAUCGAACAGGAUUAGAUACCCUUGUAGUC